rnacentral:lncRNA from 1 species
GAGUAGGAGGGGGAGAGAAAGAACGGGAAGGAAGAAAAUAUUCACUAAUACAGAGAACUUAAUUAUACAUACAUACGUACAUACAUACGUACAUACAUAUAUGCAUACAUAAAUAAUACAUAUACAAGCACACACACAUAUAUAUAUAUAUAUAUACAUAUAUAAACCUUUCUAACACAGAGCAAAACAAAACAAACAACGGUGCUGCGAGACAUUCCUCCGUUCGGCUCUGAUAUCAACAUAUGUACAGGUGCUAUUUGAUAUACUUUCAUUAACUUAUAGAUUAUAAUUGAUUGAUAAAAAGGAAAAAAAAACCAAAAAUAAAUAAUACUUACAUGAAGCUAUCGUGAUAAAAAGUUUCAAUAUGUAAAUAAAUAUACAAGCGCUUCACUAUAAAUAUAACGUAAUGAGAUAUUUAUUUUUUUGGAAAGAUACGGGAUGAAAGAAAGAGAGAAAAUAAAAAUUAAAGAAACAGAGAGAAAAGGAAAAAUAAAUAUGAAAGUCUGAAAUGAAAGAAAAGAGAAGUCGUAAUAACAACAACGACAUCAAUAGCAAAAAUACUGUCGGUAACAAGUGAUAUUGUGAAGGAAAACGGCUCGCCUGCUUGUCUCGCAGCAAACUGUCAUCAGUAUGGGAGAUGUGAAAAAUACACGGCGACUGUAACAACAACAACAACAACAACAACAACAACAGCAUCAACAAUAACAGAUCGAUAAACGAAAUCGAUAUUACCAACGAGUUAACAGGGUAACUUCUUGCUUAUUACGAUCGCCGAAGUUGUUAGAAGUAACAGCUGAAAAUCUCCCUCAAAAUCACACCCGACACGUCUUAAAUAUAUAGGAAAAAUGCAUUGGAUGAAGUUCUCGUUGGUAUACGAAAGGGCGUGAUGAUCACGGAUGGAACGAACGGCUUGAGUCAUAGGUGUGCUCAAUCAUAGCUGACCUGGGUGUCUACUUCAACAAAAAAACACUAAUAUAUAACUAUAAAGAUAACAGUAAAAAAUAACUACACAAAAAAUACACAAUAUACGGGGAAGUUAUUAUGCACAGAUAGAAAAAUGAUAUAAAAAAAAUGAUAAAUGAAAAAUAAAAGCUACAAAAAUUCCCUAAAGAAAAACAAAAAUAAUGAUACUGAUGUGUGCCCGGAAAACAGACGGAAGUUAAAAAGAAACAAAGCAAAACAAAAAAAGAGGAACUAAAGAAUAGCGUGAGGGUGAGAAAGAGGAGAAAUUGAAAGGAAGGGAGAAGGGAAAACUAGUUAUAUAUACCAGUGUUGAUAAGUACACGUCUUAAUAUAACCGCCGUCUUCUUUACGUGUGUUGUGAUGGUCAGAUUUAUUACAGGUAGGUAACUUUAGUUUAUAUGUUUUCUUCCAGGAUUUCUAUUGUUUCUGUAUCUCCUGUUUUCUAUUUCUCUUCUUCAUAGGUGCGUACUUGUAUGCAUACAUGUAUAUAUAUUGGUGUCCUGUACUCAUAUAUGCGUGUAUUUAUACAUGUAGAGGUUGGUACGUACAUAUAUGUAUAUAUAUAUAUGCAUAUGUUUUAUUUAUUAUAUAUAUAUAUAUAUAUAUGUGUGUGUGUGUUUAUGUGUGUAUAUAUAUAUAUGUAUGUAUAUAUAUAUGCGUAUACAAGCCUUGUGCUGGCAUACACAUGUUAUAUAUAUAGCAUAUAUAUAUAUGUAUAUAUAUUUAUAUAUACACACACACAAGCACACAAAUAUAUAUAUAAAGUACAUCAUUAUAUAUAUAUAAUAUAUAGAGUACAUCAUUAUAUAUAUGUAUAUACAUAUAUAUAUAUAUAUAUAUAUAUAUAUAUAUAUAUACAUAAAUAUAUAUACAUACAUUCAUACAUGCACACACUCACAAAUUUAUAAUAUAUAAGUAAAUAUACAUUCUAUAUAUAUAUAUAUAUAUAUAUAUAUAUAUAUAUAUAUAUAUAUAUAUAUAUAUACAUACAUUCAUACAUGCACACACUCACAAAUUUAUAAUAUAUAAGUAAAUAUACAUUCUAUAUAUAUAUAUAUUAUAUAUAUAUAUAUAUAUAUAUAUAUACAUAAAUAUAUAUACUUACAUUCAUACAUGCACACACUCACAAAUGUAUAAUAUAUAAAUAAAUAUACAUUCUAUAUAUAUAUAUAUAUAUAUAUAUAUAUAUAGGAUAUAUUUAUAUAUUUAUAUGGAAAUAUGAAGUCCGGUUUUUUCAUACUUUACUAACCGUGUCUACGAAGUUUCACCCGGGUCUUUACCGUCUGCAUGCAAGAAUAGUUAUAAUGCUGAUAAUUCAUUGUUUAUAUUUUAAUGUAGUCUCUCAUAUGCAAACAUACUUAUAUCUUUAUACAUUCAGGAAAAGCACACACACACACGUGGGUGUGUACGUAUAUAUAUAUAUAUAUAUGUGAAAUGUACGUUUAUACAUAUACAAAUAUCUACAUACGUAUCGAUAUAAAUAUAUAUGCGUAUUUAUGUAUACACAUAUGAAUAUUUAUAUUGUGAGUAUAUAUAUAUAAAUAUAUAUAUAUCUUUUAUUUUUUACUUGUUUCAGUAAUUAAACUGCGUCCAUGCUGGAGCAUACCCUAUCUGUCUAUCUAUCUAUCUAUCUAUCUAUCUAUCUAUCUAUCUAUCUAUCUAUCUAUCUAUCUAUCUAUCUAUCUAUCUAUCUAUCUAUCUAUCUAACUAACUAACUAUGUAUCUAUCUAUAUAUUUAACUCUCUCACCUCUCUCUCUAUAUAUAAAUAUUUUGUUGCCUUACCAUUUUUAUCAAUAUGUAUUAUAUAUAUAUAUAUAUAUAUAUAUAUAUAUAAAAUGUGAGUGUGUCUAUAUACGUGCAUACAGGAAAGCAUGUAUUUGUGUGUACAUACACACACACACAUAUAUAAUCAUUCAAGUGCAAGACACAUUUCUUAGAAGAUUUUAAAAUUUGAAUCGUGAUUAUGAUAUGUAUCAUUAAGAUUAAAGUGAUGGUGAUCAAAAAGCAUACUGACAAUGUCUGUCCAUCUCAAAUCAACAUGACCCGAGAUGCUUAGCAAUAAAAGUUUUCUUCAAAAUCUUUCGUGACGAAAUGUCGGCAGAGAUUUUGAAUCGAAGGCCCAUCAGCUGUUAGUUUAAUAUUUAAUAAUAGUCGAUCAUUUUAUUUCUACACACAGACACGCGCGCACACACACACACACCCCGCGCGCGCACCCAAACACACGUUGACUUGGAAUAUUUAUACAUUAAUAUGAACCAACAAGAUUUUGUCUGUCUGUUCAAUCGACCUUUUCAGAAAUAGCUCCAAAAUCUUCGUGGAAUCGCACAUAUAUAUAAUGGAAGGUUCAUUUGGAUAAUGUGGGCCAAGACAGGCUAUGUCUUGGAAACUAAUGACGGAGUGGUCAGGAAUGGAAUGUCUUUGGUUUUCCGUGUACACAAUGAGGGUUGACCUGUGGCUAAACAGCAUCAAGAACAUCAACAAUAUUACGAAGAAUGAGUCUAAUCACACGUUGUACUUUACGUUUCUAUGUAUUCAUAUCACUCAGUGAUUACGUCUGUAUAAUCAUAUUGAUACAUACCUGCAUCUAUCUAUCUAUCUAUCUAUCUAUCUAUCUAUCUAUCUAUCUAUCUAUCUAUCUAUCUAUCUAUCUAUCUAUCUAUCUAUCUAUAUUUCUAUCUAUCUAUCUGUUUGUUUAUGUGUAUAAUGUGCUAUGUUCGCGUUUAAUUUUUGGCUGUUUUCUUUGUCUUAGCCUAAGGUAAAAGGGCAACACCCAAUAGCCUUUGAAGGGCUUCCGUCGCUAUGUAUAAGAAUUUGUGUAUGUGUGUGUGUGUGUCUGAAUCUGUAUAUGUGCGUGUGCAUGUGCUACUGAGCCUAUGCGUUUGUUAGCCAGUUUGUGUUCGUGUGUGUGUGUAACUGCGUGUCACAAAGGUCAAAUUUAUUUCGUUAUGUUAACAAUCCUAACGCUGUGAGGUGUUGUUGUUCUAUGGAAGAACAUACUCACCUCCUGGUAUUGAAUACCAUGCGUUGGACGUGAGAGUUAACGUGGACUUAAUAUUGGUUUCAAAUUUUGGCAGAAGGCCAGCAAUUUUGCGGGAGGGAGUAAGUCGAUCACAAGGACCCUAGUGUUCAACUGGUACGAAUUUUAUCGACCCCAAAAGGGUAAAGUCAGCGUUGCUGGCAUUUGAACUCAGAAUAUAAAUCAGAAGAAAUGUCGCUCAGUAUUUUCCCCCGGUGUACUAACCAUUCUGCCUGCUCACCGCCUAUAAAGGUUUUCUACUAUAGACGCGAAACCUGAAAAUAUCAGAGUGGGCUAGUCGUCUAUAUCGACUCAAGUGCUGGACACGUACUUUAUUUUAUCGACUCAGAAUGAAUAAAAGACAAUGCCGACCCUGGCAGCAUUUGAUCUCACAACGUAGGAAUAAAUGCCAUAAAGCAAUUUCCCCCCUAUGUGCAGAUGACUCUGCCAGCUCGUCACCUUACGUGGUAUUAAUAUUGAUGCAUAUUAUACGAGAGCUUUGACAUAAAGAGCUGUCACUUCCUUUCUCUGCUCUCCUGUUACUACAACAACGACGUCUACUUGUCUGAAUUAGCUAAGUGCAUACCACACGUCACAGCACAUAAAGCACUGGUUACCCUCCCCAUUUUGUCACCUGUACGGUGUCUAAGCAUCGAUAUCCCGCAGUAAUCAGAUCAUUCACUCAUUGUAAUACACGACUGUCAUCUCAUUAGAAACUCUUCCUUGUCCCGGAGUCAGCUCUGACUAAAUUGCACAGACUUAUGAGUGACGUUCCAACCUCUUGCCAUUUUUGUCUUUGUGUCUAGAUUGUCAUGGUAUUUUUGUCCUUUCCUACGACUGUAUUUUACUAUUUGAAAUAACACAGUUGCUAUUCUUAGCAAGACUAGCGACUGCGUAUCUGAUGUUCCCUCGUUGGGACAGAUGCCUUCAGCCACGUUUUUCAGGCAAACUUGUAGUAGUUGAAACAUGAGCAUAAAUUCUAUCGAUCUCACGUGUCUCGGAGGUCCCGUGAAGGUCAUAGAAGCAUUGUCCCCUCCUACUUCUUAAAUAAACCAUACAAAGCAACAACAAAUAAAAUCUCUUUGGCUCUCCUGUACAGACCGAAGUAUCGGGACCACAGCAUUUUCAUUUAUUCAACGAAAAUGACAGCAGACAAUAGGAAAAGAGCUGAAUGGAUCUCAGUCACUUUCGAAGAUGAUUGUUCGGGUCUUCUAUCUACUCAAUUGAUUAUUCAUUGAAUUAGUUGUUAAUGGGAGAUUUGAGUUUUCUACAACAAAGUAAUUUUAAAACAGGACAACAAGAGUAAACUUCUGAAUUAAUGGUACAAUGAGUCCGAUGGCCUUUUCAUCUACGGAAUUACACCACAAGACUUGGGUCAGCUCGAGGUUAUGAUAAAAGGCAUUUGCCUAAAAUGGCACUCAGUAGGAUCAAAAUCGGAGCCCGAUGAUUGCGAAGCGAACUUCAUCCCCAUUCGGCAAUGCUACAGCAACAAAGUGUCCGACACCAAACUUUAACUGAUGUACAAAGAGAAGGUAGGUUGUCCAAUACUUCAAACAGAUACCCACAUUUUAUUUCUACUUCUACCCCAGAACAGUUGGCUGGUGUUAGGUUUUAUCGACCCAACUCUUGUCCCAAGAAUGAUGAAAGUUAAAGCUGACAUGAAAGGGAAAUUGGUUCUUAGGAGAUUGUAAAGUGCAGUAACUAAAUAUCGCAAGACAUUUCCGCGUGAUCUUCAUCAUCGUUGUCGUUGUCAUCAUCAUCACCAUCUUCCUCUUUAUCAUCAUCAUCGUAAUCAUCACCAUUACCAUCAGCAUUAACGUCGGUGUCAUCAUCACCAUCAUCAACAACAAACGAUUGCUAAUGUAAGCACAAGACGCAUCGUUUGAAAGUAAACGAACCAUUUAAAUAGACACCCUUAUCACUUGUGCUACACUUGUUACUUCAAGGAAUACUUCAUUGCCAUCGUCGUCGCCAUCAUCAUCAUCAUCAUCAUCAUCAUCAUCAUCACACCAUAACUGGUGCCGGUUUCAGAAGGAAUUUAAAUUCUGGACGAGAACUCAAGGCAGUGAGGGAAAUUCAUCGAUGUUUUACAUGCUAGAAAUAAAUUAGUUUACUUCAGAUAACACAAUACCACCAAAAAAACAGAAAGCACUCGUUCAACUUUAUAGUACUAGGUAUACAAAAAGACAAGGUGGCUACGGUUGGAUGGAAGCACUCCGUCGGUUACGACGACGAGGGUUCCGGUUGAUCCGAACCAACGGAACAGCCUGCUCGUGAAAUUAACGUGUAAGUGGCUGAGCACUCCACAGACACGUGCACCCUUAACGUAGUUCUCGGGGAUAUUCAGCGUGACACAGAGAGUGACAAGGCCGGCCCCUUGAAAUACAGGUACAACAGAAACAGGAAGUAAGAGUGAGAGAAAGUUGUGGUGGAAGAGUAUAGCAGGGAUCACCACCAUCCCCUGCCGGAGCCUCGUGGAGCUUUUAGGUGUUUUUGCUCAAUAAACACUCACAACGCCCGGUCUGGGAAUCGAAACCGCGAUCCUAUGGCCGCGAGUCCGCUGCCCUAACCACUGGGCCAUUGCACCUCCACGGUGGCUACGGUUACAAUAGUCUUGAUAAGAGAUCCGUUCUCUUACGAUAGAAAGGCAGAAAACAAACAAGAAUAUCAACAUUAACAAAACAAAUUCUUUAUAGAGUAAAAACACCCUACCGAAAUUCAAGACUUCUUCAAAGCCCUAAGAUACUACACAACACUAUAUACUAACACUUAACAGUGCGUUGUCCUAGAAUGGAGUGCUACUCCAGCAUUAGGGACGAUGCUAUUAAAAACACAGACAUGCAGAGCAAGGCCAUCUGACUUAUUAGUAUAAAAUUGCUACUCAGCAUGAACCUACAUUUGACCUACAGACAUGGUUUUCCCCCUCUCUGUUCCUUUUACCAUCACUACAGUAGUUCCUGUUCUUAGGGGCAGGGUGAUUGUGUACUACAUUCACUCAAGCACUUCCGACUCAUUCCGCUUCUCUCUACUCGUACUCUAUGUUGUUUUCAAUUUUUCCUGGCUGCAUAGUAGUCACUACACUCAGUCCCUUCUUUCACAGAAUGUCGGCGUCAGAAAGUCUCCCCUCAGUAUAUGUUUUCCAGCAGAAUUUUUUACUCGCAUCUGUUGAAAAGGAAUCGUAACUGGUUCCGUCUUAUUAGUCUGUGUGACCGCGCCAAAAUCAUGUGCACUGGCUUUCCUCAAUAAAUAGUAAAAAUACAAAAUGAAACACUAAAACCUCUGACGGAGUCAACAUGGAGCCUCUACGUCAGGGGUUUCUUACAAGAAAUAUUAUCAUAAUCUAUCUCAAAUUAAAACCUAUUUCUUUACCACCCACAAGGGGCUAAACACAGAGGGGACGAACAAGAACAGACAAACGGAUUAAGUCGAUUAUAUCGACCCCAGUGCGUAAUUGGUACUUAUUUAAUCGACCCCGAAAGAAUGAAAGGCAAAGUCGACCUCGGCGGAAUUUGAACUCAGAACGUAACGACAGACAAAAUACCUAUUUCUUUAUUACCACAAGGGGCUAAACACAGAGGGGACGAACAAGAACAGACAAACGGAUUAAGUCGAUUAUAUCGACCCCAGUGCGUAACUGGUACUUAUUUAAUCGACCCCGAAAGGAUGAAAGGCAAAGUCGACCUCGGCGGAAUUUGAACUCAGAACGUAACGACAGACAAAAUACCGCUAAGCAUUUCGCCCGGCGUGCUAACGAUUCUACCAGCACGCCGCCUUAUUAAAAUUAAAAUCUACGUGUAAGUAGCGUCCCCCUAUGUUAAGAGAGGGUACCUUGUACAGAGAUUCCUUUGAAAAUAUUGAAUGAUGCUGGCUUAAACGCCUUUAAUUAUAGGUCAGCUCAGUUAGAGUUGACCUGAGAUGAAGCACAGAUAACGAUAAUAACAACAUUAACCACCAACACAACAACAACAAUAACAAUGACAACAAUAAUAGCUUUUCUGGGCAGCAAUUUUGAUGGGAAGGGAUUCGUAUUUCACUGAUAGUAAAGGAUGAAAGACAAAGGUAAUGCGACGGAAUUUGAACUCAGAACUGAAGGACUUUAGAGAAAUGUAGCUCAGCAAUUUUUUUGCCCGACACUUUAGCAAUAACAAAAAUAAAAAAAAAACAUCAUCAACAACAAUAAUAAUAAUAUUUAAAUUAAUACGAUAUCAUACGUCAUAUAUUGCCAUAAAAAAGCAUAAACAAAUCAAAUUUAUAAAAAUAGAAAUAAAUAACUAAACAAACAAAUAAAACGCAAUUGAUAACGGCCAAAUAGAGAAGUAUAACGCAGUUGAAACAAUAAUACAAACUAUAGCAAUGAAAUCAAUAAUGAUGAUAAUAAAAUAUCGAUGUCUUCAUUUAGCCACAAGGGCAAUCGAUAACAAUCAAAGUAACAGAGUUAGAAUAGUGAAGAGACGGAUGGGGUGGUGUUUUUGACACCCUUAAUUUCCUUAAGAAAAGACAGAGAUGAAUUAAUGUUUGCAAGGAGAAGCAUGUACACUGUUACUGUAUGUUUCUCCUAAGAAACAAUGUUGUUGUCUUUCUAUUUUGUAAUAUAUCGAUAUGAGCAGCAGCCCGCUCGCUUAUGUAUAGUCAUAUACGUACUCACAUUCAUACACUUACACAGACACACACACACAAACACACACACACACGCUCUCUCUCUCUCCCUCUCGUACCCUCUCUUACUCUCUCUCCCUCUCUUCCUCUCUCUCUCUCUCCCUCUCUUCCUCUCUCUCUCUCUCUCUAUAUAUAUAUUUUUUUUUUACUUGUUUCAGUCAUUUGACUGCGGCCAUGCUGGAGCACCGCCUUUAAUCGAGCAACUCGACCCCGGGACUUAUUCUUUGUAAGCCCAGUACUUAUUCUAUCGGUCUCUUUUGCCGAACCACUAAGUGACGGGGACGUAAACACACACAUACACACACAUACAUGUGUAUAUGUAUUAUGGAUGUGUGUAUGCAUCAAUAAUGUGUGUGCGUCAUGGUUGCAUCUGUGUUUGUGUGAAGGUUGUGUGUGUAUGUAUAUGUGUGUAUACAUAUGCAUAUAUGUGUGUGUGCGUAUGUGUGUGAACGUAUUUACAUAUAUACAUACGUACACACAUAUGUAAAUAUGUGCAUAUAUAUAUAUAUAUAUAUAUAUAUAUAUAUAUAUAUACAAAUUUCUGCACAUGAACCCGGAGUUUCUACCCUUGACAGGUCACUUCAACCGUGUUUCUGACGUGAAUUUGCUACCCAGGUUUCGGUUAAACGAAUUUUCCAUACUGACGAUAAACAUAGGAUAAUUCAUUCACCUACUUAAAUAUAUAUAUAUAUAUAUAUAUAUGUAUAUGUAUAUAUAUAUGUAUAUAUAUAUAUAUAUAUAUAUAUAUAUAUAUAUGUAUAUGUAUAUAUAUAUGUAUAUGUAUAUAUAUAUGUAUAUGUAUAUAUAUAUAUAUGCAUAUAUAUAUAUAUAUGUAUAUAUAUAUAUGUAUAUAUAUAUAUAUAUGUAUAUAUAUAUAUGUAUAUAUAUAUAUAUGUAUAUAUAUAUGUAUAUAUAUAUAUAUAUAUAUGUAUAUGUAUAUAUGUAUAUAUAUAUAUAUGUAUGUAUAUGUAUAUAUAUAUAUAUGUAUAUAUAUAUAUACAUAUAUAUAUAUAUAUAUAUAUAUAUACAUAUUACAUGCAUACGCAUACACACACAUACAUAUAUAUAUACGCAUAUAUAUUAGAAAUGAAAACGUGUGUGUGUAAAUAGAAAUAUAUACAAAUCGAAUAUACUCUUUUCAUAAUAUGUAAUAACAUAAAUGUUUUUCUUUAUAAAUACACAUCCGUAUUGAUUACAGGUGCGUAAACAUGAAAAGGUAUAUAACCACAUAUUUACUCAAAUUUAAUGUUUUUCCACAUAAAUCCCUUUUUUUUAAAAUUUCCAUACGUUUUCAUAUGUACAUAAAGCCGAGAGUGCUAAUACAAAGUAGAGUUAAAUGAAAGUGAGACAGAGAGAGACAGAGAAAGAAAAAGCGAGGAAGAGAGUCAGAGAGAGAGAGAGAGGGGGGGUGGGGGAGAGAAAGUGAAGGAGAUAGUGAUGAAUCCUAUGAGUAAAGGAGUAAGAGAUUGCGUGCGAGUGAGAAGUGCUAUGGACGAAAAACAGAUUAAGAAGGAGAAGACGUGAGUUAUAACAGGGGGGGGGAGAUUCCACCCCAACUCCCUACACACUAUUUUUAUUCCCUUUCAUAUUUCAAACUCUAUGAUAUAUGAAUGAAUGCUGUAUAAUCUGUGUGAGGUGCAGUCAGGGUUAACAUAUUUUACUUUUUAAAUAAUGUAAAUAUGUAAACGGUUUUCAAUUUAACUAAAUCAUAUAUAUAUAUAUAUAUAUAUAUAUAAACCAAUAUGCAUGGAUAUAUAUAUUACAUUUGUAUGUAUGUGUGUACGUAUAUAUAUAUAUAUAUAUAUAUGGUAUGCACUCGUUACAUACAUGCACACAUGUAUGUAAAUAUACGGGUCUUUUCCUUGUUCGUUUCAUGUUCCGCUGAGAGCAAUCGUUGGUGCUUAUAUAGUAAUAAAAAUUAUUGCACAAUAGGACAUGAAAACCGAUACACAAACACGUGGCAAUAUAUUUGUAUAGUGAUACACAUACACACAUACUUACCUACGCUCCUAGCUCUCUCUCUCUCUCACUUCAUAUAUAUAUAUAUAAAUGUAUAUAUAUAUAUAUAUAUAUAUAUAUAUACUAUACUUGUUCCACGUCCUCGCGUUGUUGUGUUUUCCAUUUGUGCUUUCAUGUUUGGAUUAACUAUAUAUAUAUAUAUAUAUAUAUAUAUAUAUAUAAAAUGUAUAUAUAUGAAUACAUAUACUAAAACAAGAGCUGGUUAAUAAAUUGUACCUUCAAAAAGCGUAACAGGUGCAUGCAGGUUCCUUUGAACUUUUUGACUAAUAUCUUUAUGUUUUUAUUCUGUUGGUCGUAGCUUUACUGCCACCGUAAGUCUAAUUUGUAAUACCUACAAUAUAUAUUUCACAGUAGUUCUAAGGUUUGGGUUUUCUAUGUAUUUUUGUCUCUGUUUUGUUUGUGUUUUUAUCAUGUGCGUGUGUUGUAGGGAAGAAGGCUUAUGCAAAAUUAGCUCGUACUAAAAUUUUUAUUGUUGAGUAAAUAUCGUUUGUUCCAAUACCACAGAGAUGGUCUUUAUGCUCAUGUGUUAUCGUAAAUGCUGUACUAUAAGGACAUUACAGAUAUUGUGAGAUCCGGUUUCAAUACAAUUUUAAUCACGUCAAAAAAUAUAUAUCUAGGACACAUUUUAGCACAAUCGCCAUCAUUAUCAUCACGAAGAUUUUCCUCAAUAUCAUCGUCAUCAACAGUAUUAUUUUCGUCAUCAUUACCAUCAUUAUCAGUAUCAUCAUAUUCACGAGCACCAUCAUCAUUGCCUAUCAUCCUUUCAAUAUCAACAAGAUAAAAGUGCCCUAAUGUGGUUGAUGUAACUUACAAAUUCCUUCCACCAAAUAUCUAGAUUUGUGUAUAUAUAAAAUAUCUGAUUUAAGCACGUGGCCCAAAAUUUUGAAGGAAAUGUCAGAUUAGAACGACUCCGGUACUUAUCUGAUACUGUAUAUUGUCGACAUAAGAGGGGCGAAAGGCAAAUUGUCCUCUGCUCAAUUGGAACUCAUGAUGUAAAUUUCGAAAGAAAUCCUGUAUGAUUAAAUAUGCUUUCUUAGAAUUCCACAAAGGUGGUCUUUAUGGCCAUAGGCGCAGGAGUGGCUGUGUGGUAAGUAGUUUGCUUACCAUCCACAUGGUUCCGGGUUCAGUCCCACUGCAUGGCUCCUUGGGCAAGUGUCUCCUACUAUAGCCUCGGGCUGAUCAAAAACUUGUGAGUGGAUUUGGUAGACGGAAACUGAAAGAAGCUUGUCGUAUAUAUUUAUAUAUGUAUGUGUGUAUUUGUGUGUCUGCGUUUGUCUCCCUAGUAUCGCUUGACAACCGAUGUUGGUGUGUUUACGUCCCCGUAACCUAGCUGUUCGUCAAAAGGGACCGAUGGAAUAGGUACUAGGCUUACGAAUAAUAAGUCCUAUGGUCGAUUUGCUCGACUAAAGGCGGCGCUCCAGCACGGCCACAGUCAAAUGACUGAAACAAGUAAAAGAGUAAAAGUGUAUACAUCAAUCAAAAUCGUAGACCAUAUGGACACAACAGAUUGUGUGAGAUCUAUUUUCUCGCAGCAAACCAAUGUUGUUUUAAGUUAUGAGGUUAUCACUUACAAUAAUAAUAAUGAUGAUGAUGAUGAUGAUAAUAAUAAUCCUCAUCAAAAUCUUCAUUAUUAUCAGCUUUGCUUUCCAAACUUUCGGUGUCGAUAAAAUAAAGUACUUCUCAAGUACAGGAGUAGAUUUAACCGAGAAACUAGCUUCCCCAAAUACCUGGCUUAGUCCGUAUAUUAGAAAUUAGGCACGAGAGCAGCAGUUUUGAGGAGAAAGGCUUAGUAUAUUACAUCGACUCCUGUACUUGACUGGUACGAUAUUCAAUCAAUAGGCAAAAUUAACCUCAGCAAGAUUCGAACUCUGAUUGUAAAGUCCCAAACGAAAUACCAAAUUUCUAAUGAUUCUGCGAAUGCAUCAACUUUACUAAUUCACGUAUAAUUGUUUCUGGUUUAAACAUAAUUCAUGCUUUACUUUUGCGGAAAGGAGGUUAGUUGAUACUAUCACUAGUAAUACUAGAUUUCGACUUUAAUUUAUCGAUCCCAAAGAGAUGAAAUGCAAGGUUGAUCUUGGCGGGAUUUUAGCCCAAAAGUUAAAGAGGCGGAUUAAAUAACGCAAUGCAUUUUUCCGACGUGAGCAAGCGAGCGCGAUCUCGCUCGCUUGCUCACCCUGACAAUACUGUAAGUAAUCAUUUCUACUAUAGGCUCAUGGCCUAAAUUUGGGAGAGGGAGCCAGUCAAUUAUAUAAACCCCAGUACUUGACUGGUACUUAUUUCAUCGCCCCCGAAGAGAUGAAAGGCAAAGUCGACUUCCAACUCAGAACAUAAAGGCAGAGGAAAUGCUGCUUAGAAUUUUGUCUGACUUGCUAAUGGUUCUGCAAGCUCCCCUGCCUUUUAUAUAAUAAAUAAUAAUAAUAAUAAUAAUAAUAAUAAUAAUAAUAAUAAUAAUAACUAUUAUUAUAAGAUUGGUUCCGUGGUCGAAUUUGUCCUUCAUCCCUUUCGGGAUCGAUUAAAUAAAUACCAAUUAAGCCUCCACCAUCAAAGUUUCAGGCUUCGCAUCAAUAGUAGAACGGAUUGGUAAAAAAAAAAAGCUUGCUCCCAAACACAUGGUUUCGGGUUCAGUCUCUCUGCGUGGCACCUUGGGCAAGUGUCUUCUACUAUAGGCUCGGUCCGAUCAAAGCCUUGUGAGUGGAUUUGGUAGACGGAAACUGAAAGAAGCUCGCCGUAUGUAUAUGUUUGUGUGUCUGUGUUUGUCCCUCUCACCGAGUUUGACAAAAGAGGCCGAUAGAAUAAGUUGUUGGCCUGUAAAGAAUAAGUCCUGGGGGCGAUUAGUUCGACUAAAGGUUGUGCUCCAGCAACGCCGCAUGACUGAAACAAGUAAAAGAUUAAUGGGAAAAGAAUAAAAGAAAGAAUAUUUAGUGGCAUUUUCCCCCGGUUUUUCAUUAAGAGUCAUCAAUCAACUUCUUUGCAAUCAAUGGAGCCUGUGUGGGAGUGUUUUUUUUUCUUUUUUGUUUUCUUAUGUUUUCCAAUAAACUCUGCUGAGGUAUUCUUAUUUUGCAUUUUCUUUUUAUUCUGAAUUUUUCAAAUGUAAAGAUAAUUUAUGGGGAAAUUAUUAUCGUAUGCCUAAGAGUGUCUCGGUAGUUGUACUCUAUGACUCACAGAGUUUACUAUUGGGUUGUUCGGAAAGUUCGUGCCGGUUUUUAAAGGAAAGAAAAGGGUCAAUAAAUAUUUGCCAUUACAUUUUUAAUCAACCAAAUAUGAAGCAUUUUGUUGCACAAUGCGUUUCCAUCUUUCCUUUAAGUUGAAAAUACCCUCUUCCCAGAAUUGAGGUGGUUUCAAGGCAAAGAAUUCACCAAGGUAUCUUUUUACGUCAUCCAAGGAAUUGAAAUUUUUACCAUUAAGACUAUUCUGCAGAGACCUGAAUAAGUAGAAAUCCGAAGGAGCAAUAUCUGAUGAAUAUGGAGGGUGGGGUAAUACAUCCCAGCCGAGCUGCAGCAAUUUUUGUCUGGUUCCCAAAGCAUCAAGUUCCGAAAAUGAACGUUCUUCUCUUCCAUUUUAAAGGGUUACAGAAUUAACACAGAUUUUAGGAACAUAAACCGUCUUCCACGAAAAGAUAGUUUAACCUUUCCUCUAAAUGGAGAUGUAGCCAGAUCCUAUUUUAUGGACUCAAACAUGUUCUAAAAUAAGUCGCACACGCACACACACAUGCAUACACACACACACAAACACACACACACACACACACACAUAUAUAUAGCGAGAAUUCCCCAAAAUGCAAAAGACGAAGACAGGUGGUGUAGACAACAAACAGAUGUAUUAGUAUAACGAGAUGUGAAAAAGUCUUUAACGUUUCGAACCUACGCUCUUCUACAGAAAGAAACACAGAAAGAAACAAGGAGAGAAUGUGUAGUGGCCAGCGAUCUAUCAUAGCGCAGCGCCCUUCCUUCGAAAAGAUAUGCACAUACACACAAAUGCACACACACACACACACACACACACACACACACACACACACACACACACACACACACAUAUAUAUAUAUAUAUAUAUAUAUAUAUAUAUAUAUAUAUAUAUAUAUAUAUAUAUAUAUACUGGUGGAGGCGCAAUGGCCCAGCGGACUCGCGGUCGUAGGAUCGCGGUUUCGAUUCCCAGACCGGGCGUUGUGAGUGUUUAUUGAGCGAAAACACCUAAAGAUGGUGGUGAUCCCUGCUGUACUCUUUCACCACAACUUUCUCUCACUCUUACUUCCUGUUUCUGUUGUACCUGUAUUUCAAAGGGCCGGCCUUGUCACUCUCUGUGUCACGCUGAAUAUCCCCGAGAACUACGUUAAGGGCACACGUGUCUGUGGAGUGCUCAGCCACUUACACGUUAAUUUCACGAGCAGGCUGUUCCAUUGAUCGGAUCAACCGGAACCCUCGUCGUCGUAACCGACGGAGUGCUUCCCAUAUAUAUAUUCUAUAUCUUUUCCGAUGAAGGGCGCUGCGUGUUAUACCCAGAGCUCCAAGCCACUAUUUCACACCGAGCAAAACAUACAAGUUAUACUGGAAUAACAUGAUAAUUUAUACAGAUCCCUUGUAAGUAUGAAGAAAUAUUGGAAUGGUAUAAGGGUAUAACGUUUUAGCAGACGUGCUUCGUGUCAUCACUCAAUGUAAGAAUCUGAUUUUUAUCUCAUUAUAUUUGACAAUAUCUCUUCGCUCUUAGUUUACCUUCCUAUUGUCUGUGAGUCUCAGCAUUCAUCUCUCUGACAACUUCUCUCCCUUCUCCUCCUCAUCUCAAUCUAUCUAUCUAUCUAUCUAUCUAUCUAUCUAUCUAUCUAUCUAUCUAUCUAUCUAUAUCUAUCUUUCUAGUUAAUUAUUCAGUACUGUUAUCAUUUCUCCAUCAAACAUAUGCAACUAUCAAAAACAUACUGUGCCACAGUAUUUUAUUUGUGUUAGUGAUUGUAUAAACCAAGCAGUCUCGAUCCGAUGACGGCGACGACUAUAGAUGGCUUUUUUGUUAUUUUUGUUUUAUUGAUUGCUUAAUCUCCACUCUGUUAUCUCAGAAGUUACCCAAGCUUGAAAGUACAAAUGUGUUAGCAAUGAAUACUAAGCAAUGUGUGUGUGUGUGCGUGUGUGUGUGUGUGUGUGUGUGAAUGUAUGUAUACAUGAUAUGUGUGUUUUGUUUGGCGAUAUUUUUCAUUCUCUGAAUGCUAUUUUGAUAGGUAUUGGACAGUCGACAGGCAUAUAUAUUGGAAAAUCAACAGACGACACGAAUAACGAAAUCCAGUACAAAUACAUUUGCGUACAUAAACUCAUAACAGUUCAGUUCCUUUCAGAUACUUAGUCGUACAAAUCAUUGAAAUGCUGGUUCAUUGUUUUCACUAAAAAUGUCCUGUUUUCACUCAAUAACCUAUGAGGUUAAAAUUGGGUCAAAUAUAUUUCCAAAUUAUGUAAUUUGAAUAGGAUGGGAAACUGAUAAAUAAGAUGACACCCUAAUUAUUUAUGUAUUUAUUUAUUUAUUUAUUUAUUUAUUUAUUUAGUUGGCUAGUUUUCGUUAUAGUUAUUGUGUGUCCCAGUUUGUCUAACUGUAUAAAUGUCUGUCACCCUUUGGAAAGACAUUCAGCAAUGAUGUGAGUUGAGCAGCUGGUUAACAUUGAACUGUUUCGUCGAUGCCUUAUAGCAAACCGUUUGCCAUUCUGUGGUAAUAUUUUGCGUAGAUAUUAUUUCUUCACUGUCUAAAUAUUUAUGUACUCUUUUACUUACUUUCUUGCCUAUCCACUAACCUCCGCUGCAACUUUCUCUCUAUCUUUCGCUGCUGUCUCUCUCUCUCUCUCUCUCUUACUCACUCUCUCACUCGCUAUCUCUCUCCCUCCCCUUAUUUCUUUCACCCUAGUUCGACUCUGAAUCUAUCUGUCGUACUAUCUAUCCGUAUAUACGUAUAGUACAAACACACAGACAUUCUCUCCUCUUCCUUUCUUACACUUUCUCUCGGGUGAUAUAGAUAGAGAGAGAGAGAGAGACAGGAAGAAGUGCAAAAAUGGAGUCUUCUUACCGAUACAGGGUGGCAACUGGGAAAGAAUGAUGAAAGGCAAAUUGAUGAGUUCGGCGGAAUUGAAGAUCGAAACGUGGAGAGCCAGAAAAAUUACUCCAAUCUACCUGACGUUGCACGCACACGCACAGACUCACACACACACACACACACACACACACACACACACACACAUAUAUAUACAUAUAUACAUAUAUAUAUAUAUAUAUAAACAUAUAUUUACAUAAAUAUAUAUAUAUAUAUACAUAUAUACAUAUAUGUAUAUAUAUAUACAUAUAUAUACACACACACACACAUAUAUAUAUAUAUAUAUAUACAUAAUAUAUAUAUAUAUAUGUAUAGAUAUAUAUAUAUAUAUAUACACAUGUAUAUAUAAACACACACACACAUAUAUAUAUAUAUACAUACACAUAUAUAUAGAUACAUAUAUAUAUAUAUAUAUAUAUAUAUAUAUGAGUGUGUGUGAAUGUGCGCGUGUAUAAGUGUGUCUUUGUGAUUGUUUGUCAGUCCUUCCCACUUGACAACCGGUCUUAGUUUGCUUACGUCCUCAUAACUUGGCAAGACAGUCCAACUGAAUAAGUACUAACCUUAAAAAUAUAUAUAUAUAUAUAUAAAUAUUGAGGUUGAUUUAUUCUUCCAAAAUGUCUGGAAUGGAUGCCCCAGCAUGACCGCAGUUCAACGUAUGAAACAAAUAAAAGAUAAAAGAAAUGAUCAACGCCAAACAGGUGUGAAUAUGUGUGUGUCUCCAUUCAAGCUUAUAGAUUAAUCAGGUAGAUAUUACAAUGGAUAAAUUGCUAAUGGGUUAUCGCUUUUCCUGGUAGAAAUAUUUAUUGUACAUCGCAUUCAUUGUCACACCGGCUGUCAAGAAUCGGUACAAGUUCAUUUGAUUAUGCGCCAUCUGAAGCUAGUUCCGACUAAUCGUUUUUGGACAGUCAUGAAAUAGGAAGCAGAUACUCAUUGUUGCUGCUGUUGUUGCUUCUUUCAUCUCAUUAUCAUCGUCGUAGUAGUUUUCAAAUAUUACACGCUACACAGAAGAUGGCUAACCAGCGGUAUCGUUAUAUUUCUGUAUGGUACACAAUCUUCUGAUGAACUAUUUUUUCAAACAGGUGUGAAAAACAAUCAGAACCGCGUGUCUUUCUCUGAGUGCCUAACGAUUGUGUCGACCAAAUCUACUAUCAAGACAUGGGCCUGCCCGACGCUAUAGUAGAAGACAGUUGCCAAAUGUGCCCUGCAGUGGAACUGAACCCGGGACCAAAUUGGUUAGGAAGCAAACUUCUUACCACACAGCAACAACUGCGCCAAUGUUAGCUUUAUUUUUUUUCUUUUCGUAAGAGUUGGUUGUGUGAAAGCGCGUGGCUUAGUGGUUAGGUUGAUGGUAAGAUUGUGGUUUAGAUUCCUGGAGCGGGCGACGUGUUGUGUUCUUGAGCAUAACACAUCAUUUCACGUUGCUCCAGUCCACUCAGCUGGCAAAAAUGAGUAACGCUGCGUUCGACUGGCGUCCCGUCCAGUUGGGGAACACAUAUACCAUUGAAACCGGGAAACCGGGCCCAUGAGACUGGCAAGGCUUUAAAAAGGGCGCAUUUAUUUUAUUUUAAGAGUUAGUUGUAUAGUUAGAAUGAAGUUUGGCUCUCAGUAUCUAAUUAGGUGGCAUGUUGUUCAAUUGUCUUUAAGAAAACAAUUGUUUCUAAACGAGCCUCUGCUAGCGCAAUGAAAUCAAGUGAUUGGAUUUACGAUCUCCCGUUGAUUUUUACACGUUUUAAACAUGUUCUGAACACUUCAUUUUGAAAAGAGCUCCACAUACCAAAUGAGACACAAUAGGAAUAACGAGAAGAGACAGCGGACACAUCAGGUUGAAAUACACCUGUAGCUAUUUUAGCUAAGUAGUAAUUGCUGCUAAAAGCUGUGUUGAGACAGAUGCUUGGUGAAAAUACACCGCAAAGACGUAUGUUGCAGUACAAGACUGUAGAUGGCUAGACGAGAGUGAAUGUUUACCAAUGAAACCGUUGUUCAAUAUCUUAUAGAAUAUAUCACCUAGAUUUACUGCUUCGUCGAUAAUUGAUAGGAUACACGAAUACAUCGUAUUCCAAGAAUCAUUCAUAUGUUAAAUACAUUAUAUAUAUACAUGCGUGUAUAUAUAAUGUAUGUACGUGUGUGUGUCUCUGUGUUUGAUUAAACAUAUGCAUACAUAUAUAAGUCGAGGUGUAUAUAAAUGGGUGCUGUUUUUAACGAAAAACAAACAUAUUUCUUAUUUACGUUCUAAAUACAAUAACAGCCGCUAGCAUUAAAAUAAAUCAAUCUAGCUAGAAAAAGUGAUGGCUACCUGGAAACAUAAUAGAUAUACACGCGAUUUUACUCGCAUAUAAUUGUAUGUAAGCUUUAUAUGUUCACGCAUGUGCAACGUCGCCAUACAUGCACAAAUUCAGAUGAAUGUAAGAUAAAGAGGAAGCAGACAAGGAAGCCUGAGUUAGAGAAAACAUAAAAUCGCAACCUAAAGCCUUCUUUAAGUUUGUCAAAAAACUACCGCCGCGCGCUGCAAGGUAGGAAAGGAAGCACUCCGUCGGUUACGACGACGAGGGUUCCGGUUGAUCCGAAUCAACGGAACAGCCUGCUCGGGAAAUUAACGUGUAAGUGGCUGAGCACUCCACAGACACGUGUACCUUUAACGUAGUUCUCGGGGAUGUUCAGCGUGACACAGAGAGUGACAAGGCCGGCCCUUUGAAAUACAGGUACAACAGAAACAGGAAGUAAGAGUGAGAGAAAGUUGUGGUGAAAGAGUACAGCAGAGAUCACCACCAUCCCUGCCGGAGCCUCGUGGAGCUUUAGGUGUUUUCGCUCAAUAAACACUCACAACGCCCGGUCUGGGAAUCGAGACCGCGAGUCCGCUGCCCUAACCACUGGGCCAUUGCGCCUCCACGCAAGGUAGGACGACUCUUUCUAUACGAUGGUUCGCUCGUGGGAAACCCAUUCAUGAUAAGUGGUAUUGAAUUACCAAUUCAAAAGAGCUUCUAGCCCACUCUUACGGCACAUACAAGUACGCAAGUCUAUAGAGUUCUUUACCACUAUAAAUGUACAAAAAGGAGGCAGUGACAAUUGAUUACAUUGACAUCAAAGAAGUAAUACUGGCCAUAGAUGUGGUAGACACAAACUUAGUUGCUGGCUCUGACAGAUUCUCAGCAAACUUCCUCAAAUCAUGUAAACUUGCCCUUGAAGAACUUGUUCUUAUAAUACGUAUAUAUAAACAUGUGUAGGCAUGCAACGCAAAUACACGCAAGCAUGUCAUCCACACACAUGCAUUCAUGCAUAAUUUAUAUAUGUAUAUAUAUAUAUAUAUAUAUAUAUAUAUGAGCAAAAUAAGCAACAUGAUAUCAAGUAGUAAUGCAGUACGACAGUUUCAAGUGAUUCCAUUUAAUUGAACAAUGCAAUCAUUACAUCAGUUUAAAUACAGCGCUGUCUUCAGCUACACUCAAAAUAAAUACAUAUGGAACUUCAACAGGUAGGAUACAUUCAUAUAAUUUUUCUUAAAUGUUUUAACAGAGCAUGGAGAUGGAAGAAAUUUAUGUUCUCGCUAUUGUAGGAAGAGUGGCUAAGAAAAAACAGACUACAAUUUCUUAGAAUAGCAUGGAUCAUAGUGGGGUCAUAGGGUUGUAAUUCAUUUCCAUUUUAUUUUUAUCUUUAUCAAUUACUAAGAUCUGAGACUAGAAGACAGUGUAUAUUUAGAAUUACCCUAUGAUCCCACCAUACUCCAUGUUAUUCUAAGAAAUUGUAGUCUGUUUAUUCUUAGCCACUUUUGCUACAAUAGUGAUAACAGGAAUUUCAUCCAUCUGUUAAAAUAUUUAAGAAAGAAUAUAUUAAUAUAUCCUACCUGCUGAAGUUCCAUAUAUAUAUGUUGCGCUGCUGAAGACAGCGCCGUAUUUAAAUUGAUAUAAUGAUUGCAUUGUUCAAUUAAGUGGAGCCGCUUGAAACAGUCGUAGUUCAUUACUACUUGAUAUCCUGUUGCUUACUUUAAUUUUAUUCACCUUUCUUCGAGCUGUGCGGAUAAUACCAAACUUACUUGGUGCUUCAACUUAAGUGCCUAAUUCAACUGAAUCUUGAUAUAUGUAUAUAUAUAUAUAUAUAUAUAUAUAUAGAGAGAGAGAGAGAGAGAGAGAGAGAGAGAGAGAGAGAGAGAGAGAGAGAGAGAGAGAGAGAGAGAGAGAGAGAGAGGAUGCGAUGGGAAAUUGUCGCCAUUUUUAAUUUUUAGUUCUGCGCAUGGGCAUAGCUUCGUUUUGAUUUUGUCGACUACACAGUACAGUAAAGUCAGUUGGGCACUAUCUGGGAGAAUAAUAGCACCAUAACACAAUUCGCUCAGCCAGAAAUUUGGUAGUGCUACCUUGGGUCAAGGGGGUGGCUUCUGGAAGACCCUAUGUCUGGCAACAGGACUCUGCUCCAUGCCACACAAGCAAGGGAAUCCAGUCAUGGCUAUCAUAAAAUUUUUGCGACCACAUCACCCCUAACAUCUGGCUACCUAACUCCUUAGGCGGUAACCACCUUGAUUUUUACGCUUGGGGUGUAGUUGAGCAUGCUAGGGCACCACCGUUUUGCUACACUGUUAUUAGUGAGAGCCUACGCUGAUAUGUGACAUUCGGUCAAUAGGUGAGUUUGCUGUCACUGCCAUAAUUUUCCCCCUCUGAUACGAGGUUAGUUAAUCUGGGAUGAGAUCCAGAUGAACCUACCUCUAGUUUUGUUUUGAAAACACCUACAUCCACUUUAUGUAGAUUUCUCAGGCUCUUUGGGAGAAUAUUAAAAAGCUGUAGGCCCUUGAAACCCAGGCUGUUGCAUUAACUGGUCUUGAAGCGCGACGGCAUUGUUGGGAUCUUUGGCACUGUGCAGUGGUGACCUGUUCUGGCAUUUCUGUAGCUUUCAAUGCCAGAAUUUGGCGCAGUCCCUUCUAAGAGCUUUUAGAUGUAUAGUAAAGUAUAUCUCACCAACCUUCACUCCAGGAAAUAGUCAUAGCUGUUUCAGCCUUUCCCAGUAAGCUGAGCUAUAGCAAUGAGACGAUCUUCUUAGUGCAGUCUCGCUGGAUUGCUUCAAGGUCUGCUGUUAACUUUACACUGUGAGUUGACCAUAGCUGGGAGCAGUAGUCUAGGUGGCUGAACACAAAUGUCGUCCAGAAUGCCAUCAUGGUUUCCUUAUCUCUGUAUCUGAAGAUUCUCACGAUCCAGACAGACAGCCGUCUACAUUUUCUUGCCAUCUUGGUAAAGUGCACCUGGAAAGAUGUAUCAUCACUCAUGUCCAUACCCACUUCCCGCACUGAUUUAGGUUCUGGGAUUGUAAUCCCACUCUAGGCCAGUGUAGCCUGAAAGGUUUUCGGUCAGUUUUGGGCGCUGGCAGCGCAGGGCCUGGAGUUUUCUAGCAUUAACAACAUUAUCGAGUAAUAUAUAUAUAUAUAUAUAUAUAUAUAUAUAUAUAUAUAUAUAUAUAAUUACUCGAUAAAAAUAUAUAAGAACGUCUAUGAAAUAUAUUGUAAAUAUCGCUGGGUUGAUAUAAUGUACACUUGACUAGUUCCUUCAUUUUCACAUCAACGCAGUAAAUAUGAGCAACACACACACACACACACGUGGGCUGCGUGCGCGCUAAGCACACAGCGAACAUAAAGGAAAAAAGACUGAAAAAAGAGUAAGUGAAGCAGGAAAAGAACAACGUAGUGACAGUAGCGGAAAGAGAGUGUCAAAGAGAGAGAGAGAGAGAGAGAGAGGGAGAGGGAGAGAGAGAGAGAGAGAGAGAGAGAGGUAGGGAAAGAUGGGAAAUGUAAAUUGAUCAGAGCUGACAAAUUAUAUUGAAUAAUGCACUGUUAAUGUUAUUUGGUAUCAAUUUAAGACUCGAAUCAUUAACAAUUGGUUGUGUCACUAAUGCCAACUCUUGAUGUAUGGCCAAAUAUCUGUUCAUACUAGGAGGCUUAGAGCGCAUGGACUUUGUUACUGUUUUCGUCGUUCAAUCGUUCAAUUGCUGUUCGUCUUUGCUCGAGUCGACCAAUGACGGAAAUCAUGCCAACUGUAACCGUAAACAUUUGUUUGUUUGUUUGUUUUGUUUUGUUUUUGUUUGUUUGAUUUCUAUCCUUUGACCCCAGACACAUAUGUCUCUUGACUCUAUCAUUCAAUCUGUUCUUCUUUAUUCAUGGUGAUAGAACGUCAUUGAAGCGAGAGUUCAUCGUUAUUUCUAACAAAAACCUGUGACAACACAAAGGUUUUCUCCUUGAUAAUGUUCCAUAAAGAAACGAUGGUUGAUUCUUAGAGAAGCGAUGAUAAGUUAUUGAUAUCUCUCUGUACCUUCUGAAAAAUAAUUCUACAAUUGUUUUAUCUUUAUGUGGCCAAUAAAAUAGGUCUGUUUAAUGGGACAUUUCCCAUAGAUGCGUUUCUUUCAUGUAAGAUAUCGACACUUUUCGUAUUCCAGCAACAGUUUUAAACCCGUUUUUAAUCGAUGUGCUUAAGCUGCAGUCAAAGAAGCCUACUAGAAAUGCCAGCUAAAUCACCCUCACAUCGCACAUAUGUAUCUGAAGAAGAGAUAGGCAGCACUCAUAACAUUUAGCAAGAUUUCUAAUAUUGGUGGAGUAAGAGAAGUUACUUUCAGAUCGGUUCCAUGGUCCAGGUAUUUGCUAUUGAGUGGACUUUGCAAAAACCAUUUAAAGUCAGGCGGUGGUAUUAAGCCGGGCAAUCUACCAGUAAGUGGUACAGUCUAUUCAAACAGCUUCUACACAGUUUGCGUCUAACCAGUCUAUCCAAACUUAUUGCGUUAACGCGAGACUUUGGCAGACGACACAUCCCGAAGCGUUACAGCGUGAGGUUUAACACAGACUAAGCAAACGUUUUAACCAUAUGACAUAAUUUAAAACAGAUGAGAUUGCCAUUGCAAGAAUGACUGUGGUCAGAUAUCUUUUGAAUCAGAGGCAAUUUGUAGAUAAACAACAACUACAUUUAUAAGAAAUACUAGUUGGGAAUUUUUAUAUAAUAUCGGUUUGUAACAUCGGUAGAAGGUCGAUGAUUUAUGGAGAGUAUACUCAAUUAAAUAAUCUACUAUAUUUUAUUGAACUCGGAUAAAAGACAAAUUUAACCCCGAUGGAUUUUGAAAUGCGAAUAUGAAGUGCAACAGAUAUGCAUAUUAUCCGACUCUUUACUGAUUAUAGUAAUCCAUUACCUUAAACACAUAUUCAGCAAUAAGUAGUGAGUGGAUCGAAAUGUAGCUUCAAGCAGAUAUGACAUGCUAUUUAAUCUGGUUGCUUAUAAACGAGUUCUACUCUAAACUGUAUUGACUUUGUUGUCAAAAUAUUUCGUUCAAUUGAAAUUAGAGGAAUUAUCUCCAUUUCUUGUUAUUUUCAGCGUGUUAGUUCCAAUUAGAUUCUUAAACUAGAGAGUUUUAAUCAGGUAGUUGCUUCAAUAUCAUCUGAUGAUCAACGAUUUUCAACUCACUACAUGUGUAAAAGCUUACAAAUAUUUCUAAAUAAUGUUCGAAACAUCCACCAGAGGAAAUUUCGUUAGCCUUAUAAGUGAAAACAAAAGCUUAUAUUUUAAUAUAGCUUUAAUAUAGUUUUAUGUCUUUUACCAGUUGAUCUUCAUCACAGUUUCGCGCGGAUUGGGCAAGAAGUCAAAAUUAUGAUCAAUGAAGUUGUAGUCGUAAUUAUACCAUCGAAUUUCUCACGCAUUCAAUUUAAAGGUCAUCUACACCCGAUAUGUCGUGCGCACCAUAUGGUGAGCUUAAAGUCCAUUUAAGUUCCUCUGAGGGAAACAUUUGGCACUGAUAUUUCUGCUAGGUUGAGGACCGCAUGAACAAUUCUUUCAAUACAUGUCUUUUAGAUAACGUGACUGAAAUAAUGACUUCUUUGCAAAUUAGACUCAAACUUUCAUAUAUCUUCUAAGUUAAUUACGUUAGAGCAGGAUAUUUAUAUUAAGCAACCUCGAAUUGAGAAAACUUUUCUCUUAACCAACGAGCGCAAUGAAAACUAGAGAUGAAUACCAGCUUUGUGUAACUUCAAAUUAGGAAAAUUAUUACGUAGGAAAGUCGAUCCUUCAAACAGGUGAUGCAAAGAAACCACUUCUCAUUGGCUCCUGCAUUAGAAAACAACUCGGAAAUACAAUGUUAUCCUUAGGCUAUAAACAUGGCUUGCAUAUUUUAUUAACAAUAUACAGGAAUUCGCUAGAAGUUAUUGACGAGGUAGGUAGCUGUGUUUAACUUAGUGAUAAAUUAAAUUUACCCUUUAAGAACCAGUACACUGCAUCUUAUGAGAUUUCGCUCAAUUACUCUGUACACAAUUUUCUCCAUAAGGCUUCUGUCAAACCGAGGCCAUGGGAAAACAUAUUGAAACUACAUUUGUCGAAUGCAUCAUCAUCCCAUGCUAAUUUUCGUUAACAAGAAACGUGAUGGCUAUCAUAGUUCGGUGGUUUUCCCAAUAAACUUCAAUGAUCCCGGUUUCAAAUAUUAGCUGAAGCCAGUUAAGGAAGGUAGAUUCCAGUUACCCUACGCUCACAAAUCUCGAUUAUGUCUUGUAGUAGAUAAUUAUUCAUUAUUCUCAAUAUUUCCAUCAAAUUUAUUUUCUUUUUCUCUCAUGUCACGGUGCAAAUAUUUCAAAAUGAAACUUAAUCUUUCUUGUACAAUUACGUGACACAUGGAUUAUUUUCCCUCUUUAUAUUCUUUUUUAUUAUCAUCAUCUUUGUCAUAUCAUGUUUUCCUCAUAAUAAUUUGUUGGUAAACAUAUAUUACUUUUACGAAGAAGAUAAUAUAAAAUAAGACAAUUUAAAACAAACCAUUAAUAGUUGUUGACAUUUUCUAAUAUAUUUUUUGUUUGUCUUUUUUAUCACAAGUAGAAUUAUGUCUCAGCCAAUCUUUUAAUAAAGAUAUUGCGAUAAAAUGAAUUGUAAAAAAAAAGAAGAAAAAAAAAAACAAAAGCAUAAGACGCAAAAGAUUACAUUUUUGUCUAGCAAAAAUCUCCAAAGAUAACAAUCAAGAACUUUUAACAAGGUCAAUAUUCUUUUUAAAUAAUCGUAAUAAAUUAUUUGAAUUGCUACUGAAAAAUAUAGCAAAAACAAACAAACGGACAAAAGUUGUUUUUCACUUUUCUUACAUAGUUUACAGUUAAGUUUAAUGUUGAUUUCUAACAUAGGCGUAAUACAGUAUAUUUUGGCUGGGUGGGUGGGUGUGGUAUAGACGAUUAUAUCGAUCCCAAUACCUGACUGGAAAUCUAUUCUGUUAACUCAUAAGAUGAAAGACCCAGUCAACAUCAGAGAAAUUUGAAAAAUUAAACAUAAAAAUGAUACAAAGAAACGCUAGAAGGCAUCUUCCUCGAUGCUCUACUAGUUAUGCAAAUCCACUAUUUUGAAAAUGCAAUUAUUGUAAUUAGUACUCUGCAUGGAAUAUCUAAUGAUUUAUAAAACUCUAAGUUCCUUUUAAAUAGAAAGCUAUAAAAUAGAUAUUGUUUUGAAUUUAUAGUUUUCUUGAAGCUCUUGAUUUUUGACAAGGCGUGACGUCCGCAGUGGUUGUACAGAAAAUGUAAUCUAAGGAGAGAACGACAUUGAAAACUACAUUAUUUGUUGUGCACUUGUUAGUUGUUAUCUGAUACAUAAUGUUUAUGUCGAGAAGCAAAUAAUUCUGACUUGAGAACGAAAUAGAAGACAACAUUUGUCUGAUACGGCAUGUCCACCGUUGGUAAAGUAUUAAAAGAUCUUAAUAUGUUUAGUUUCAUAUCAGAAAAAUGAUAUAUAUGACUUGACUUGAAUUCACAAUCCCAGUGAAAGAAUUAGAGACGUUAUUCAAUUGAGUUAUGGAUUUUGUGUAUAUAUGCAUGCAUAAGCAUAAACAUGCAUACACGUAUGUGGAGGCACAUGGCCUAGUGGUUAGAGCAGCGGACUCGUGGUCGAGGGAGCACGGGUUCGAAUCUCAGACCGGGCGAUGUGUGUGUUUAUGAGCGAAACACUAAAGCUCCAUGCCGCCUUCUGGCAGAAGGUAAUGGCGAACUUCUGCUGACACUUUCGCCACAACUUUCUCUCGCUCUUUCCUCUUGCAUUUUGCAGCUCACCUGCGUAUGACCGGCGUCCCGUCCAGGUGGGGAACCUAUACGCCAAGGAAACCGGGAAACCGGCACUUAUGAACCAGGCUCGAGAAAGAACAAACAAAACAAACAUACACGUAUGCAUACGUAUACACACACACAGAUAUUCAUAUGUGUGUGUGUGUGAAUGUGUGAUCACCUGGCUGUGUUGUUUGGUAAAUACAUUAUAUCUUUGAUUUCGUUCCAUAGUUAAAAUAUCAUACACAUUGACCGCAUCGAGAUAAUGACAUUAUUAAUAGUUGCUGGUUAGUAAAUAAAAUGAAAUAACUGAUUAGUUUAACGACUUGACUGAAAACAAGAUUCUUUUAAUAAUCCACUAAGUAAGAGUCUCUAUUGAAUUCCUGGUGAAAUGGUGCAAACGAAAUAACGACUAAAUUUGUUUCUCUGUAGAAGUCACUUCCUUUUAUUUAUGUCAUCAAUACUCUACAGAAUACAAUAUACAUCACGGUCUCUUAACAUUUCCACCUUGUACUUAAUUAAGUUUCCAAUAAAUUAUCUUGUUAUUAAUGUAUCUAAUUAAUAUGUGUUUACAUGACAAAUAUUUUAUAACCGAUUUUAUUUGUUAACUAAAGGAAGAAGAACGGGUGCCUCUAAAGAAUUCUUCUUUCAUCUAGAAAUAAAAACAAAAAGUAAUUGCUUUGGUGUUACUGUAUUCGUUUACAGGUUAUAUCUUUUGGGAAUUAGUAGCCGGUUGAUAAGAAGAAAGUGUUCGAAACCUAUGCUGCUCUAAGCAGCAAACAUGGAAUAAAGUAGUAUGAUUUCUUGGUUGAAUAAGGUUAGAUGAAGUAUAACACAAACAUUAGCGACUUUACACUGACAUUAACAGACUUUUAAACAGAGAUUUCCGUGGUAAUAGAAAAAAAAACAACACUUGCAAUGGGUACAAAAUGAAGGGUCAAUUAGCUAGGGAUUUAUGGAAAUGUUGUAUGUUGAAUCAGAAAACUUCCCUUUCUUGAAGCUGUUACUUCUCACCAAUGCUCAUGUAACAGUUUAUUGUUGCCGUAAUUAUUGUUGUUCAUGCUGGUGUGGCUAUUGUAUCAAAUCAUCCCAUAAGUUCUGUCAGAUUUUAUCUUUUUAAAAACUGAAUGAAAUUUAAUAGUAUUUUAGAAUGUCUAAUUGGAUUAAAAAUUAUUUUUAUGCAUUUGUGUACAUUUAAACUAAUUAAAUAUUAUUUUACAGAAUAUUAGAACUAAAAUUUCUUUGAUUAAAACCCUUUCUAACAUGGAAGUAUCCAAAAAGCAUUUAAGGCACAUAAUGCUUUAUGAGUACAAAAAGGAAAACUCUGCAACCGAAGCGACGCGAAACAUACACUCAGUUUAUGGGAAAGAAUGCUUGAAUGAAAGAACUUGCAGAAAAUGGUUUGCAAAUUCAGAAGUGGAGAUUUCAAACUUGAAGAUGAAGAUCGAACAGGACGUCCAGUUGAGUUGAUGAUAAGCUCCUUGAGGCGAUACUUGAAGAAAAUCCUACAUUAUCAGUUGAAGAAUUUGCAAUAAAAUUUAGUUCAAACCAAAUAACUGUUCAUCGUCAUCUUCAACAACUUGGAAAGGUGUCUAAACUUGGAAAAUGAGUGCCUCAUGAAUUGUCUGAAAGCAACUGCAAAUCCCAUGUUGACAUCUGCUCUUCUCUCCAUUCUAGCGAACUCAUUUCACCCUUUUUGGAUAGACUUCUAACGAAAAAUGGUUUUUCUAUUGAAAGGUUAAACGUCGUAAACAGUGGCUUGGUAAAAGGGAAAAUGCUCAACCACAACCGAGAAGGGAACUAACUUCUUAAAGAAAAGGUUCUUCUCUCUGUCUGGUUGGAUUGCAAAGGAGUAAUUCACUUUGAAUUGUUACCACCUAAUACAACAAUCAAUGCUCAAGCCUACUGUCAACAAUUAAAGCGUUUGAACCAAGUUUUGAAGACAAAAGACCCGAUUUAGUGAAUCGAAAAGUAGGGAUGUUUCAUCAGGACAAUGCGCGACCCCACACUGCAAAGAUCACAUCACAGAAGAUCGAAUAUCUUGGUUGGGAAAAAGCUUCUCACCCACCUUAUUCUCCCGACCUUGCUCCUUCAGACUACCACUUGUUUCGUAGUUUACAGAAUCAUUUGGGAGACAUAACUUACGCAAGCCAGGAGUAGGUCGAAACUGACAUUUCAGAGUUCUUCGCUUUGAAACCAACAGAUUUUUACAUUGAUGGGAUUAAAAAGCUUGUAAAUAAAUGGAAGGAAGUCAUACAUAAGGAAAAGUACAUUGAUGAUUAAAUUUCAAUUUAAUAUAAGAUUUGNNNNNNNNNNNNNNNNNNNNNNNNNNNNNNNNNNNNNNNNNNNNNNNNNNNNNNNNNNNNNNNNNNNNNNNNNNNNNNNNNNNNNNNNNNNNNNNNNNNNAGAAAGAUGGAAUUAAAGUGAAUGAACAACAUUUCCGCUUGAAUAACGUAUAUUAAGUUGACACCCAGAGCGUUUUCUUUUUUUAAUGUUUAAACAAAUCACUCCGGUUGCCCUAUGGAAAGGUACGCCUCCCCACUUCUCAAUAGGUAACUUUUUUCCUGAAUAUCCGUAGUUGAAAUUCGGGUUUAUCCGAUAUAUUCGUGCGUCAUUUAUGUCAUCAAACAUGAGGAUGGGCUGAAUAGUUUCUAGGCUGACUAUGAAGGAGUGAAGCUAGAGCUGUGAAAUCUUACAUGAAUUUAUUUUAGCACUUCUUAUUAAUAAAUGCAUUGUUUCUGUCGCGGUAUACUCAAAUCUGACUGAUCAAAGUAAACUUUAAAUAGUAGAGGCUUUUCUUCGAAAUGGACAAAAUUCGGAAUUGUGGUUUCAUUAAGAGCCUACAGAAAAAGCUUUAGCCCACAGGGCAUUCAUGCUGACAUGAUUUAUAAACUGGGGGAUAGCGCUACAGCUUUAUCAAUAGUGCAAAAUUGGGCAGCUGGAUCUAGGAAGGGAAGGUCUUGAAGAUGACCAAAGAUGUGCAAUUACCACAACCGAAGAAACCACUAAUCGUGGUUACCACAUAGUGGUGAGUGACAGGAAGGUGACUACAAAACAGAUAGCCAAUGCUAUAAGUAUAUUUCGUGAGAGAGCUGAAAUAUUCUGCACCAUGAACUUGGAAUGACAAAGGUUUCUGCUCGAUGGGUGUCACGUCUUCUGACACCUAAUCCAGAGCGCACCAAGUGGAUCACAUCACGGGAUCAUCUGACACUUUGAGUUAUAUCUAUCUCGUUUCUUAGAAUGUUUGCUAAAGAGGAUAGCUGAUGGCUUCAUCGCUUUGAGCCAGAAACAAUCCAUGCAGUGGUAACUCUUCUCUUUGCCUGCUUCAAAAAAGGCCAAGGACAUUUCAUUUGUAGAGAAUAUAUUGGCCUCAGAUUUUGGGGAUGCAAAUCAGGAUUAAAUUCCCAGGAAAACUGAGGAAAAGAGACUUGUUUCACUAGGAAAAUGCUUUAACACACAAAUACUUAUUUUCAACGACAGAUAUGCGUGAGUUUUGGCUUUGAAAACUUCUCCUCAUCUGACCCCAUCUGGCUAUCAUCUGUUCCAUAGCAUGAAAAAAUAUUUGGCUGGGGAAUCUCUACCGCAGUGAUGAUGAAGUCUUAUCCGCUGUUAUUCUUUUAUUUGUUUCAGACAUUUGACUGCGGCCAUGCUGGAGCACCACCAUUAGUCGAAUAAAUCGCCCCCAGUACUUAUUCUUUGUAAGCCUAGUAUUUAUUCUACCGGUCUUUUGUGCCGAAUCGCUAAUUGACGGGGUCGUAAACACACCAACAUCGGUCAAAUAACAAAAACACACACACACAUAUGCAUACCAUUCUGCCUAAAUAAUGGAACUGCAGAUACAAUAUCCCUCCAUAUCUCACGUCUGCUUUCAUUCCUCCACUUCACUCUCUAUUUCAUAUCUUCUCUAGAAUAACUAUUCCUUAACCAUUUUCUCACACCGUCUCCUAUGAAGGGGUAUUUUAUAUAUCCCGGAAACAGCUGUAAGAUCUUCUCUUUAUAAAUGUUCUGAAAUCUUUCACAACCUUGGAUUUUUAUCUCAUUCAGUUAAUUUUUAUAUAUACGCAUGCUGAUAUAUGACCUACAUUGGACUCCUCAUUCGCAUAAUCACCGAACCUGGAGCUUAACUAUAGUCUCUACAUAGCAUUUACUCAGCAUUACCUGACACCUUUGGGUCUUCUUGACACCAUUACCUCUCAUAACCUCAAAAUAUAUACAUAUAUAUAUAUAUAUAUAUAUAUAUAUAUAUAUAUACGACGGGCUUCUUUCAGUUUCCCUUCACCAAAUUCACUCACAAGGCUUUGGUCGGGCCGAAGAUAUAGUAGAAGACACUUGCCCAAGGUGUCACGCAGUGGGGCUGAAUCCGGAUCCAUGUGGUUGGGAAGCAAACUUCCAACUGAUGGAAGGAGACUUCAUUGAAAAAUAAACCUCAUUUAGCUGCAUUUCAUGAUAGUAUCUUGGUCAGCCUAUGAAAUUUUCCGCCUCCCCUCAUUUGGUUAGCUCGAGUUAAAGACUCCUGCAGUUUGCGCCAAGGGGCUGGAUGUAUGAGACAAAACUGUCUGAAAUCACACUCUACACCGCUAAAGAAAUGAAUGCGAGUGUUGCAUAUAUUAUAUGUUAGAUAUACUAUAUCUCAAUCUGCGUGGAUCCGAGGCUAAACAACGAUUACGAACCGGAUUAGCUACAACAGUGAGCUAGUGGUGUAAGAUAGUCGUUGGAGCAAUGGGAGGAGAUGAAGUGAUGCGUUAUCUGUUCGUGUGGUUGAGAAAAGCGACAUCGCCGGUAACGCUGCAAAAAAUCGAUAGCCUCAGCGUUGUUAGUGACAAAAACUGCAACCACAAUUGCAACAUAGUACUAGUAUGAAUAAAGAUUUCAGCAGCGACUGCAAGAGUAAGGAUAAUAAAAGCAGCGAUCCAACUUGGUCGCCAGAUCUGCUAGAAAUAUCAGCCAGAAUAUUCUGAAUUCAUAAGUUGCCGUCUUAAAUGCAGAAAAGAAUUAUAGCCCAAAGCAUUCGUAAAAGCGGUUGGAUGUUCUUGAUCAUAGAACUUCUCGAUCAAAUUUGAGCGUAUAAACCGGAGUAAGUAAAAUACUGAUUAUGUUUCUGCUAAUGAAAUCACUAUUCCUAAAACAGCUGUAGAAAUAGCAGCGAUAAUAUUUGAAAAUACGAAACCAACAAAAUAAACUUGAAGAAAGCAGGUGACAUAUCCCACUGCCAUGAUGAGACAUUGUAAAGCCCUUUCUGUGAAAUAGGAGUUGAGGUUGAUCGGCCUAAAAUUAGGUCAGCUUUUACAUUGUCACGUAACCCUUUGUGGGCUUUAGUACAAUUUAUUCGGUUGCAAACAUUUGGGUUACGACCCCCAAAAAAGGUUAGCACAUCCUCUUGAAUAAUUGCUUCUAAGCGUGAUUUAAUUUCUCCUGUCUCUGUGAAACGGACAGUUUAUUGCCAAUGUCUUACCACCAUAAAGUAUAUAAGAUCUUAGAUACUUAAGUAUCGCCUGGGAAUUUGACUGAUGAACUCGUUUCUUCUCAGUGUCUAGUUCAUGACUAGUUGUCUUAAUAAGUACAUCAUUUCUAGAGGUCCAUACACAUCUAGUGUACUGUUGCUGGACUGCUUGAAAGUAUGGAAGUAGUGUUUAGCAGCAAGGUAUGACUCACGGUUCUCUCUUCCCCAACCCACACAAUGAAACAUAAACGACAUGAUAUACCUUAUAAGUAUAUUAAAAUAACAGUACAUCCCAACUGAAGAAUUUUACCGUCCAUUACAUAAAUUUCGCAAAUUUUAAUCCAGCUUUCAAAUCACGUACCACCUCUUAAUAACUCAUAUCAACACAUCCUAUUCCCUGCCAAUACACAAAUCCCCCAUUUAUUAUAUUUCACACUCGGCAUUUGGCCACUUACGCUUUAGUUUCCUUUGAAAUGUAGCUUUUGCAUCUGCACAGAAUUUGCCCUUCCUACCACUAGUCUCUCUACAAAAAGAAUUUUAACAUUUAGAAUGUACCCUGGUUCAGAGUUUGUCUACAGAAACGCUCAAUCUUCAUCAUAUGCUGCGAGUAUGUUCAAACGAACCCUUUGCAGAACAGCUAUUUAGCUGUCCCUUGCAAGGGAUGUGAGUUCGAUUCCUAUGGCUGUUUUAUGACAAAUUUUCUUGUUUUGUAAAACGGAUUAAUUUAUCAGCGGGUCGUUUAGCUUAAUGAUAAAGCACUUGGCCAGAGACUUCAAGGGAUAAGGAGUCGAGUCCCAUGCUGUUGACAAUUUUUUCCGCGUUGUAAGGGUAAUUUACCUAAUAUUUCUUCUGUUCUAAUGGCGUUUCUGCGUUCGAAAAUAAAUUAUCAUCUUAUUUGUAUUUUACAACACAUAUUUAGACGCUUAAAAAUUACACGUUAUUUUGAUUAUAUUUAUAUAAUCGUAAACAAUUUUGCAUCUCGUAUAACAGCAGUUUCCCCACACGUUACUACAUCGACGAUAUUCGGGUUGCCUAUUCAGUACGUAGAAUUUACCAUAGUCAUAUCAACGCAUAGUCCCAUAUCAGGCAGCAGAAGCAGCACCAAGCCUUUACUACACUUAGCUGGUCAGAACUCCUCGAGCUCUAUACCGAUUACUGCUGGCAAGAAUUUUGUUAUAAUCUCGAUAUCUAUAAAGAAUUGCAUGAAGGUGAUGAAAGCCAAAUAUAAUAAUGAUAAUAAUCAUAAUAAUAAUAAUAAUAAUAAUAAUAAUAAUAAUAAUAAUGGAAGCACUCCGUCGGUUACGACGAUGAGGGUUCCGGUUGAUCCGAAUCAACGGAACAGCCUGCUCGUGAAAUUAACGUGUAAGUGGUUGAGCAUUCCACAGACACGUGCACGCUUAACGUAGUUCUCGGGGAUAUUCAGCGUGACACAGAGAGUCACAAGGCCGGUCCCUUGAAAUACAGGUACAACAGAAACAAGAAGAAAGAGUGAGAGAAAGUUGUGGUGAAAGAGUACAGCAGGGAUCACCACCAUCCCUUGCCGGAGCCUCGUGGAGCUUUUAGGUGUUUUCGAUCAAUAAACACUCACAACGCCCGGUCUGGGAAUCGAAACCGCGAUCCUAUGACCGCGAGUCCGCUGCCCUUACCACUGGGCCAUUGCGCCUCCACAAUAAUAAUAAUAAUAAUAAUAAUAAUAAUAAUAAUAAUAAUAAUAAUAAUAAUAAUAAUAAUAAUAAUAACAAGAUAAUAAGUAGGCCAGACAUAUGGGUAGUAGAAACUCUGAACUCUAAGUAGACAGUCUUACUAGAGAUGGUAUCUCAAUAAAUAUAACGGUUGGUGGCUAUCCUUAAAACAGAUACCUCAAUGUUGAGUGAAAAUGUCUAAUACAAAUGGUAUUAAUAAGCCUGGUACUAAAGGCGAAAGGUUUUUUGAUGGUGAUGAUGAUCAUAUUUUUAUGACUUUAUCAUCAUCAUUAUUACCAUCUCCUUUGUGUUAAUGGUCGUUGAAUUGAAUGAUAAAUUAGUUAAUUUUUACUAUUAAUAUUAUUUAACCAACAUGAUUAAAAACAAGUCAUCGUUGUCAUAAUGAUGAUCAUGACCACGAUCAUCAUUAUCACCAUCAUUGUCAUCAUCAUGCUUUUUAAAGAGUGAGCAAUAUUUUAUUGAAAGUUUUAUUAUUGUAAACAACAUGUGUGUGUAUUUGAGUUUGUGUAUUUGUGCAUAUUUAUAUGUGUGCGUUUGUAUUUACUGUGUUUGUUUGUUUAAAUGCAUGUGAGGAAGAGAGGCCAUCAGCGAGUCUGUGAACUGCAUAUAAUGAAGAAACAUAUACUAUUUUUUUAUUACUUUCUGUUCUUCCUUCGCUUUCAUCAAAACUGGAGGUACGCCAAAAACUGCUGACUAAGAAGAAUUAGUGCAGAGUCAUAGAGUAAUAUAGCUUUACCUGUAAUCACUUAUUCUAGGAAUGGAAUAGUUUAACAAUUUGUUUUAUGUCUGAGAAAUAUCCAAAAGAGUUCAAAAGAUUAUCAGCUUUCAUGAAGAGAAAACAAUGCUGUCUACAUCACAUAUAUAUAUGUGUGUGUGUGUGUGAGUUCCUAUGUGUGUGUGUUUCUAUGUGUGUGAGUGUAUGUAUAAUGCAUAUAAUUAAUACAUACAUAUAAAUAUGCACACAAAUGUGUGUGUGUGUGUGUUAUGUAUCCUGGAAUUCACAACAAAAGAUAUAUUCCGUUUCUUUGUCUCUUUUGUGAUGUUAUCUCGUUAAUAGUACUUCCUCGUUAUUUUAAAUCAAUGCAUCUCAUUAUUAUGGAGUAUACGUCUCCUUUCUAUAUGUCUAUACGAGUAUGUAAAGACGUGAUCGAAUAGAUUUGUAUACCUGUAUGUCUGUGAUUUAUGAGCUAAUGAAUAAACGUUCAUGCAUAGAUUAUUGCAAUGAAGAGAAUUCGCAAAUAAAAUAUAAUUGGCUUGAAAGAAGAGAAACAAGAUUCAAGUAAAUACUAUUCAGAGCUUUUUUAAAUAUAAACUCUGUUUAGUGUUUAGUUAAAUACAAAUAUUAGACUUGGAGCGAAAGCAGUUGGAACAAAUAUACUAGCGUUACCUUGGCUUAUGACAUUAUGCUACAUAUCCACACAAUAUGGUUUAAAGAAUUCUGCUUAUCUCACUUUAUUUUCUGUGUUUAAAUCUAGCUGUCGAGCUGACUAUUUUCUUCGACCUAGUCACAUCAAUUAAUCCAGUCAUGUUCAAUUAUCAGUUCAAUACUCAUAAUUCUUUGUUUCUAUCUAACAGUAAAAGUCAUCUGACGUCGACCACAUACAUAGGCAAUGUUUACGAAAUUUUGACCCCAUUAUAGGCGCAGGAGUGGCUGUGCGUUGCGAAGCUUGCUUCUCAACCACAUGGUUCCGGGUUCAGUCCCACUGCGUGACACCAUGGACAUGUGUCUUCUACUGGAGCUUCGGGCCGGCCAAAUCCUUGUGAGUGGAUUUGUUAGACGGAAACGGAAAGAAGCACGUCCUAUCUAUACAUUUAUAUCUGUGUGUGUGUGUGUGUUUGUAUAUCUGUUUCUCUCAUACCAUAGCUUGGCACCGAUGUUGGCGUGUUUACGUUCCCAUAACUUAGCGGUUUGGCAAAAGAGACCAAUAGAAUAAGUACUAAGCUUACAAAGAAUAUCCUGGCGUCGAUUUGUUCGACUAAAGGCGGUGCUCCAGCAUGGUCGCAGUCAAAUGACUGAAACAAGUAAAAGAAUAAAAGAGUAAAAGGCAUUUUGCCGAAACCACUUCUUUAAAAGUAUUUAGCUAGGUCUCUUUUCUGAACAUAACAUCUAUUCUUAUACCCGUAAAUUCGGCCUACCUUGAAAAUGAUCCUAUUGCUACACUUCCUCAUCUUGUCAUCUCAGAAAGGUAUAAAACGAAAACGUAUUUUACAGUUUGCGCGCUUUUAUUGGUAUUUAUUGAAAUAAUAAUGAACAAUACUGAAAACUAGUACUAAGCUAGUACUUGCUUUCUUUCGAUCGUUCUCGUAAGAUACGGAAUAUGGUGUGAACAUUGAGUUUAGGGGAUAUAUUUCAGUGUCACCUAAAUAGCACAGAAGUGUAUGUAUGUAUGUAUGUAUGCAUGUAUAUAUGUAUGUUUGUUUGUUUGUUUAUAUGUGUCUGUUUCUAUAUAUGUAUGUAUUUGUAUCUACCUACAUCCACAGAAUUUUGAAUAAUGUAGAGCAGAGUGAAACUAGUGGGUGGGUGUGGCUGUGUAUAUUUAAUAAUUUAUGUUAUAACUUGCUAGGGUUGUGAACAUAACUAUAUAGAACAGGCGAGUUUGACACUGAGACCGAGAACCACACAACAUAAGGAACAGAUCAGGUUCCCGCGAUAUAGACAGAUUCCUUUGAGUGAACACAUACAGAGCUGUGCAGGUAAUAUCGAGCCAAACUUCACAGUUUUUCCAUCUACCAGUGCAAAGAAACGAUUUCUAUACAAGAACGUUUAAAUAAAGAAAAUUUGUUCAUCGAAAAACACAAGACACAUCUAAAUAUGAACGCAUCACGAACUUUGACCGCAGUACACAUUUUAAUUUAUGAUCACAUACCCAUCACUGUGCAUAUUUCUUCUCACUACUUUAGCAUUUGAGGUUUUGUGAAUAUAUAUCCCCUAACAAUUACCAAUUGUCUCGCCUUAGAUUUUUGUACUUCUUGAAUAAUUUAUUCAUAAACUUCCAACACACAACAUUUUCUCAAGAAAAUACGAAAUUCCAAUAAUUUCAAUGUCAUGAUUAGCAAAAGCGGAACCGGUCGACAAACACAAUAUAAAGAAUAUUCUAAAAUAUAUUAAAACUAUGUAAAGUGUAUGCAUUUUCCUUCUUUUUCCAUCUUUUAUAUAUUAAAAAAUUUGAUUUUUACAGAUCAUUUUCAACUAAUACACACACACACACAUAUAUAUAAAUAUAUAUAUAUAUAUAUAUAUAUAUAUAUAUAUAUAUAUAUAUAUAUAUAUAUACACGUAGAUUUCACUAUCUUUUCCUUCUACAAAAUUUCACUACCUCGAUAUUUGAUAACUUGAGACAAUUUCGCACUUUCAGUAAUUGCUGGUCAAUAAGAACAAACCCAAAUGCAGACUUUUAGCCCGAAGUUAUGAAUUUUCUAUUAUUUCUCUUUGCAUUUAUUGUCCUGUUGUCAAUGUUAGAAGAAAUUAAUAUGCUACUAUGAAUAACGUUUGCUCUGAAGCGAAUACUAAAUCGUAUAUGCCUUUAGAAUUGUGCAACAGUUUUCUCCCGUCGUUGAGUGGGCUUCAAAGCAAACAUGCUUUUGUCCUACUCACCUAAUACACUCCCAAUAUAACUGAACCUUCCCAAACUUCAUUACGCAGUCAAUUAAAAUUACCGUGCUUAAUUGUUAAAUAUUGUGUUGUAAUAUAAAAGCAAUAUGGCCCAUAGUUGAUUAAGAAAUCUUUGAUGAUAUGUUUUCGUUAAAUUUCUUCAAUUAACCUUCUUAAUUCGAAGCCUUCGCCUGUCUAAUUAUAUUCUCCCAUUUCGACAAUUAACAGCUACUCAUUUCACCAGACCUUGUUAUUUUCAUUUUCAGUAAUUUUAUGAGGUUACUGAAAAUAUUUAAAUGCAAAUUAUGUUUGUCAUUUUAAUCGCCAGUUUGAAACAGAAAUAUGUAACACCGAGUGAUUGCCUUUUCUUCAGAAACAAAACACUAUGUUAUUCACUGCCACGUUCUUUGCCAUUAGUCAAUAAUUUCACUUGAUUAGAUGGUACCUAUCACCACUUCUUGGAUUUUAACGUUUAUUCACCAAACAUGUCUCUAUGCAUCUUUUUCAAUAACAAUAACAUUUGUCAAUCAUGUCCUGGUAUGUGGAACCUUCAUAUAUCACAAUAUGAGUCACUAUUACUAUACUUUGCACUUGACUGUAAUAUUAGUCGUCAGAAAUAUGGCAUACACAAGUUUGUCAAAUAUUUCCAAAGACACAUGCGUGUCAGUGUGAUAUGAAGUUUGCUUUCUAACCACAUGGCCCCGGGUUCAUUCCCACUACGUGCCACCCUGGUCAAGGGUCUUCUACUAUAGCCACAGGCCAACCAAAGUGUUGUGAGUGGAUUUGGUAGAUGGAAACAGAAAAAAGCCCCUCGUAUAUAUAUACAUAUAUAUAUAACAAUUAAUACGAGGAAUGACUACUAAAGUGGAUUCCUAUACGCAGGAGAUAGACGCCAUAUCGCCUUACCAUAGAAAAACAGCAAACGCCAAAAUGCCCAAAGUUUACAAAAUAAAACAGUUACCUACGUAUAAUGAUUUCAUUAUUAAUACAUGCAAUAUAUAUAUAUAUAUAUAUAUAUAUAUAUAUAUAUAUAUAUAUAUAUAUAUUAUAUUAUAUUAAAUUAGAGAUAAAACCACUAUUAGGCAAAUCAUACAAUGAAAAACUUAAGCCAAUAGUGGUUUUAUCUCUAAUUUAAUAUAAUAUAAUAUUUUACUAUAAAAUUGGAUUCAAUCCUAAAUCUGAUUUUUCCCUGUAAGUUUGGAUUUAUUCCCUAAUAUUUUAUACACAUACAUACAUACAUCUGUGCGAGUGUGUCACUACGUCCCUUCCUGUUUUCCUUUACCGUUUGUCAAGCGGUGUUGGUGUGCAUACCUCCCCGUAACUUAGCGCUUCAGCAAAAUUUACCGAUAGAAUAAGUACCAGGCUUUAAAAGAAAAGCUACAGGGGGUCGAUUCGUUCGUCUACAAUCCUUUAAGGCGGUUCCCCAGCACGGUCGCUGUCUAAUGACUGAAACAAAUAAAAGAUAAAGAUUAAAGAUAUAGUUUACCUACCAAUUACAAUCAAAUACACAGCCUUCGCAUUAUGAAUACAUGACGUGAGUUCAAAUUUUAACUAUAUAACAUCAGCCGAAAGUCGUGCAGUUUAAAGAAAAGACCUAACCUCUUAAAGCUACCUUACUACUUGAAGAGUAUUUUAUAUACCCGAAAAGAAGGAAAUAAAGUCGAUUUUGGUUGGAUUUGAUCUACGAACGUUAGGAUAUAUAACUACAUGCCGUAGAUCAUGUCGAUUCAUUGAUGCUGCUGAUCAGUUAUAUUCUUUGAGAUAAAUGAAUUAUCAAUCACGUAACUAUAUCGUAUAAACGUUUCUGUUGAGAUUUCUAUUUAUGUAUUAUUUUCUCCGUUUGAUUGUGUUAGUAGCUUUAUAAUUUGACUCAAGCUACUUCCUAUAAUCGUUUUUACAUUUCUCAGUCAUUACGACUUUUAUUUUAUGUAUGUAUAUAUGUAUGUACGUAUGCAUGUAUUUACGUAUGUAUGUAACAUAUAAAAGAGAGAUAUAUAUAAACAGAUAGAUAUAGAUAUGUGUGUAUGUAUGUGUGUGUGUAAAUAUAUAUAUAUAUAUAUAGAGAGAGAGAGAGAGAGAGAGAGAUUGAUAGAUAGAUAGAUAGAUAGAUAGAUAUAGAGAUAGAUAGAUAGAUAUACACUUGUUUAUAAAUUCUCAGUCACACACACACACACAGAGCAGAUCUUGACGAGGUUUUGCAGAAUAUAAUACUAUGAUUUUGCGUAAAAUAACACCAAGUGGUAUCAUAAGUGCUACUUACAUAGGAUUAACUCCUCUCUCUCACUUAAAACGUAACAUAAUUUAAUAAACUACUUAAGUAAAUCCUUUAGCAGCAGGAAAUGUCUUUAGUUACUUAUUUUAAGAUAACACUCAGUUCUCCUUACAGCUAUUUGAUGUUAAAUACGUUAUUAGCGACUAAAGAAGAAAUGGUAUACGAAUUCGGAAUAAGAAAGUAUACAGUAUUUAGCUGAGAGUAACGUUAAUCCAUUUGAAACUGUUAGAACGUCUUCACAGAUUUGAAUUAAUAUUUUGAAUAUCUGUUAGAG